ACGUAGGUGGCAAGCGUUGUCCGGAUUUAUUGGGCGUAAAGAGCGUGUAGGCGGCCAGAUAGGUCCUCUGUGAAAACUCGAGGCUUAACCUCGAGAGGUCGGUGGAAACCAUCUGGCUAGAGUCCGGAAGAGGAGAGUGGAAUUCCUGGUGUAGCGGUGAAAUGCGCAGAUAUCAGGAAGAACACCCGUGGCGAAGGCGGCUCUCUGGGACGGUACUGACGCUGAGACGCGAAAGCGUGGGGAGCGAACAGG
rnacentral:rRNA from 1 species